rnacentral:rRNA from 1 species
UACGUAGGGGGCGAGCGUUAAUCGGAAUUACUGGGCGUAAAGCGUGCGCAGGCGGGCUUUUAAGCCAGACGUGAAAUCCCCGGGCUUAACCUGGGAAUGGCGUUUGGGACUGGAAGUCUGGAGUGCGGCAGAGGAGACUGGAAUUCCUGGUGUAGCAGUGAAAUGCGUAGAUAUCAGGAGGAAUACCGAUGGCGAAGGCAGGUCUCUGGGCUGACACUGACGCUCAUGCACGAAAGCGUGGGGAGCAAACAGG